CAUGCAAGUCGAACGAUGAAGCCUAGCUUGCUAGGUGGAUUAGUGGCGAACGGGUGAGUAAUACGUGAGUAACCUACCUUUAACUCUGGGAUAAGCCUGGGAAACUGGGUCUAAUACCGGAUACGACCAAUCUCCGCAUGGGGUGUUGGUGGAAAGCGUUAUGUAGUGGUUAUAGAUGGGCUCACGGCCUAUCAGCUUGUUGGUGAGGUAAUGGCUCACCAAGGCGACGACGGGUAGCCGGCCUGAGAGGGUGACCGGCCACACUGGGACUGAGACACGGCCCAGACUCCUACGGGAGGCAGCAGUGGGGAAUAUUGCACAAUGGGCGCAAGCCUGAUGCAGCGACGCCGCGUGAGGGAUGACGGCCUUCGGGUUGUAAACCUCUGUUAGCAGGGAAGAAGAGAGAUUGACGGUACCUGCAGAGAAAGCGCCGGCUAACUACGUGCCAGCAGCCGCGGUAAUACGUAGGGCGCGAGCGUUGUCCGGAAUUAUUGGGCGUAAAGAGCUUGUAGGCGGUUUGUCGCGUCUGCUGUGAAAGGCCGGGGCUUAACCCCGUGUAUUGCAGUGGGUACGGGCAGACUAGAGUGCAGUAGGGGAGACUGGAAUUCCUGGUGUAGCGGUGGAAUGCGCAGAUAUCAGGAGGAACACCGAUGGCGAAGGCAGGUCUCUGGGCUGUAACUGACGCUGAGAAGCGAAAGCAUGGGGAGCGAACAGGAUUAGAUACCCUGGUAGUCCAUGCCGUAAACGUUGGGCACUAGGUGUGGGGGACAUUUCCACGUUUUCCGCGCCGUAGCUAACGCAUUAAGUGCCCCGCCUGGGGAGUACGGCCGCAAGGCUAAAACUCAAAGAAAUUGACGGGGGCCCGCACAAGCGGCGGAGCAUGCGGAUUAAUUCGAUGCAACGCGAAGAACCUUACCAAGGCUUGACAUAUACUGGACCGCAUCAGAGAUGGUGUUUCCCUUCGGGGCUGGUAUACAGGUGGUGCAUGGUUGUCGUCAGCUCGUGUCGUGAGAUGUUGGGUUAAGUCCCGCAACGAGCGCAACCCUCGUUCUAUGUUGCCAGCACGUUAUGGUGGGGACUCAUAGGAGACUGCCGGGGUCAACUCGGAGGAAGGUGGGGAUGACGUCAAAUCAUCAUGCCCCUUAUGUCUUGGGCUUCACGCAUGCUACAAUGGCCGGUACAGAGGGUUGCGAUACUGUGAGGUGGAGCUAAUCCCUAAAAGCCGGUCUCAGUUCGGAUUGGGGUCUGCAACUCGACCCCAUGAAGUCGGAGUCGCUAGUAAUCGCAGAUCAGCAACGCUGCGGUGAAUACGUUCCCGGGCCUUGUACACACCGCCCGUCAAGUCACGAAAGUUGGUAACACCCAAAGCCGGUGGCCUAACCCUUUUGGG
rnacentral:rRNA from 1 species